rnacentral:lncRNA from 1 species
GGGAAAUACAUGUUUUAUUUUACAAAAGAGUUGUUAUAAUUUUGUUAAAACUUAGUAAACACUGAAGCUACCGUCUCGUCGUGGAGGUAUUUGUCAGCAUUGAGGUUAGCCUAGCAUCGUGUGACACUGGGAGAUAAUUGCUUGGGAAGCUUAACGAGUUCGUGUUCCCAUGGGAUAUCGGUUACGGCUAAGGAGUACUGUCUGCAUGGGUAGCUGUGCUUGCCUUGGACUUUGUGAGGAAACCUGCAUGGAACUGCCAUACUUCGCUGAGGGAAUAUCUACCAAGCAGGGGAAACAGCUGAGCAGGAGAGCUGUGCCGAAAACACAAAAGGAACGCCCUCUCAAUCUCUUGUGACGGAAAUAAUGGAGAAAUGUGUUGGACGGACGAAUCAGCGGUUUAUGUGUGUCCGAUCCUGUGAUAGGCCAGACAGCUUGCUGACACAGAGGAGAGGAACAAGAUAACAGUAGAAAAAUCACAUCAACUCAGACAAUCAGUCUGUUCUGUCUCUGACUCCCCCCACUCUUACCAACCUGCCAAGGGAAUUUGCUGUAAAUGAAAUGUCUUUACAAAAACAUAGAAGAAUACAGAUAUUGUGUCUCGUCAGCGAGAGCAAACACUGGGAUUGAAACACGUAUACGUUUAAGGUUGACUGCACAUAACUUUCACGCUUCCAGAAGUCUCCAAAUUACUCAGAUGCAGACACUAUAGUCUUGUGUAUCCAGAAGGUGUAAUGUCAUGUUAGCUCUCCGCUCAAUAAGUAUUAGCAAGGUAACAUAGUACAUGUUGUAUGUUUUAGCUACUUAGUUAACAUUCUCAUUGUUUAUCACUGUUAAAGUUUGGUCAUUUUUUUUCAAUGAUGACCCCCAAAGAUACCCAUUUGUUAUUGUCAAAAAACAGCCUCAGUCUUUGGCUAAGUUCCCUGGGGAAAAAAAUUAUUAACACCGUUUAGUUUGACAAGGCUGGUAUCCUCCAACAUAGUAUUCUCACAGUUUUAGCCCAACAAUGCAUCUGAAUCCCACCGGCAUCGCAAGGGAAAAGCCUGGGAAUCUAUCCUUCUACUCCACUGACCAGUGCAGUACCUCAGUUUCCUCUGCACUACUUUAUUCAAUUUACCCUCCACCAGAUGAAGAUUACGAGAUAAGGGAAGACAACAAUGGAUUGUUCUCCCAAGUCAGUUUGCUUUGCAGCCCCUUCUGGACAGCAGUAAACCAGCCCAUAGCUGUCACUCUGCUGAUAACAAUGUUACGGUUUGGGGAGGACUGCUUUUUUCCUUCCUGAAAGUAAAGGUGACCCUGGACUCACAGUGUGAUGGCAGGAGUGAACAUUGAGUUCGGGGGUGUGUGUGAUUGACAUUUGGCUACAUGAUAUGAGACUUGUGGACAUUCUGCUCAGUUGAAAAUCAGAGAAAGUGAGUGUUGGGGGAUGUUUGACAAUUCCAUGUGUGAUUUUCUUAGACUGAAGUUGAAAUGUGAUACUUUUGUUUGCCUUAGGUGCCCACUUUCAUUUAAAUUCCAUUCAUGAAUUGGUUGCUUGUAUGCUGAUAAACUGACCCUGUAUUUGAACAACCACUUGGGUAUUGAAGACCCAGUUUUAACAUAACCCACCUGAAUAAAAUGCUAACAAAACUGUGAAACUAUUAGUAUCAUUUGACGGGUGGAGUUCUUCGGCCAAAUCUGCAAGACAGAAACCGCCAGUGGCUGGCUGAGUUGGGGAAGAAUGAAUUGUAAAUCAGAUGUCAACAAAGGCC